rnacentral:rRNA from 1 species
GAUGAACGCUGGCGGCGUGCCUAAUACAUGCAAGUCGAGCGAACGGACGAGAAGCUUGCUUCUCUGAUGUUAGCGGUGGACGGGUGAGUAACACGUGGAUAACCUACCUAUAAGACUGGGAUAACUUCGGGAAACCGGAGCUAAUACCGGAUAAUAUUUUGAACCGCAUGGUUCAAAAGUGAAAGACGGUCUUGCUGUCACUUAUAGAUGGAUCCGCGCUGCAUUAGCUAGUUGGUAAGGUAACGGCUUACCAAGGCAACGAUGCAUAGCCGACCUGAGAGGGUGAUCGGCCACACUGGAACUGAGACACGGUCCAGACUCCUACGGGAGGCAGCAGUAGGGAAUCUUCCGCAAUGGGCGAAAGCCUGACGGAGCAACGCCGCGUGAGUGAUGAAGGUCUUCGGAUCGUAAAACUCUGUUAUUAGGGAAGAACAUAUGUGUAAGUAACUGUGCACAUCUUGACGGUACCUAAUCAGAAAGCCACGGCUAACUACGUGCCAGCAGCCGCGGUAAUACGUAGGUGGCAAGCGUUAUCCGGAAUUAUUGGGCGUAAAGCGCGCGUAGGCGGUUUUUUAAGUCUGAUGUGAAAGCCCACGGCUCAACCGUGGAGGGUCAUUGGAAACUGGAAAACUUGAGUGCAGAAGAGGAAAGUGGAAUUCCAUGUGUAGCGGUGAAAUGCGCAGAGAUAUGGAGGAACACCAGUGGCGAAGGCGACUUUCUGGUCUGUAACUGACGCUGAUGUGCGAAAGCGUGGGGAUCAAACAGGAUUAGAUACCCUGGUAGUCCACGCCGUAAACGAUGAGUGCUAAGUGUUAGGGGGUUUCCGCCCCUUAGUGCUGCAGCUAACGCAUUAAGCACUCCGCCUGGGGAGUACGACCGCAAGGUUGAAACUCAAAGGAAUUGACGGGGACCCGCACAAGCGGUGGAGCAUGUGGUUUAAUUCGAAGCAACGCGAAGAACCUUACCAAAUCUUGACAUCCUUUGACAACUCUAGAGAUAGAGCCUUCCCCUUCGGGGGACAAAGUGACAGGUGGUGCAUGGUUGUCGUCAGCUCGUGUCGUGAGAUGUUGGGUUAAGUCCCGCAACGAGCGCAACCCUUAAGCUUAGUUGCCAUCAUUAAGUUGGGCACUCUAAGUUGACUGCCGGUGACAAACCGGAGGAAGGUGGGGAUGACGUCAAAUCAUCAUGCCCCUUAUGAUUUGGGCUACACACGUGCUACAAUGGGCAAUACAAAGGGCAGCGAAACCGCGAGGUCAAGCAAAUCCCAUAAAGUUGUUCUCAGUUCGGAUUGUAGUCUGCAACUCGACUACAUGAAGCUGGAAUCGCUAGUAAUCGUAGAUCAGCAUGCUACGGUGAAUACGUUCCCGGGUCU